UAAUACUGGAUACGACCAACCCUCGCAUGGGGUGUUGGUGGAAAGCUUUUGUGGUGAAGGAUGGACUCGCGGCCUAUCAGCUUGUUGGUGAGGUAAUGGCUCACCAAGGCGACGACGGGUAGCCGGCCUGAGAGGGCGACCGGCCACACUGGGACUGAGACACGGCCCAGACUCCUACGGGAGGCAGCAGUGGGGAAUAUUGCACAAUGGGCGAAAGCCUGAUGCAGCGACGCCGCGUGAGGG
rnacentral:rRNA from 1 species